rnacentral:rRNA from 1 species
AUUGAACGCUGGCGGCAUGCCUUACACAUGCAAGUCGAGCGGCAGCGCGGGGGUAACCCUGGCGGCGAGCGGCGGACGGGUGAGUAAUACAUCGGAACGUGUCCUUUCGUGGGGGAUAACCAGUCGAAAGACUGGCUAAUACCGCAUGAGAUCGCAAGAUGAAAGCGAGGGACCCGCAAGGGCCUCGCGCGAUUGGAGCGGCCGAUGUCGGAUUAGCAGUUGGCGGGGUAAAGCCCACCAAGGCAACGAUCCGUAGCUGGUUUGAGAGAACGACCAGCCACACUGGGACUGAGACACGGCCCAGACUCCUACGGGAGGCAGCAGUGGGGAAUUUGGACAAUGGGCGCAAGCCUGAUCCAGCCAUGCCGCGUGUGUGAAGAAGGCCUCGGUUGU